UAGUCCACGCCGUAAACGAUGAUCACUAGUUGCUGGCGAUACACAGUCAGUGACCGAGCGAAAGUAUUAAGUGAUCCACCUGGGGAGUACGAUCGCAAGAUUGAAACUCAAAGGAAUUGACGGGGGCCCGCACAAGCGGAGGAACAUGUGGUUUAAUUCGAUGAUACGCGAGGAACCUUACCUGGACUUAAAUGUACGUUGCAUAGGUCAGAGAUGAUCUUUUCUUCGGACUACGUACAAGGUGCUGCAUGGUUGUCGUCAGCUCGUGCCGUGAGGUGUCGGGUUAAGUCCCAUAACGAGCGCAACCCCUAUCUUUAGUUGCUAACAGGUCAUGCUGAGGACUCUAGAGAGACUGCCACCGUAAGGUGUGAGGAAGGUGGGGAUGACGUCAAAUCAGCACGGCCCUUAUGUCCAGGGCUACACACGUGUUACAAUGGUCGGUACAAAGGGCAGCUACUUGGUGACAAGAUGCUAAUCCUCAAAGCCGAUCUC
rnacentral:rRNA from 1 species